rnacentral:rRNA from 1 species
UACGUAGGGUGCGAGCGUUAAUCGGAAUUACUGGGCGUAAAGUGUGCGCAGGCGGCUGAGCAAGUCGAGUGUGAAAGCCCCGGGCUUAACUUGGGAAUUGCGCUCGAAACUACUUGGCUGGAGUGUGGCAGAGGAAGGUGGAAUUCCACGUGUAGCGGUGAAAUGCGUAGAGAUGCGGAGGAACACCGAUGGCGAAGGCAGCCCCCUGGGCUGACACUGACGCUCAGGCACGAAAGCGUGGGGAGCAAACAGG